GAUGAAGAACGCAGCGAAAUGCGAUAAGUAAUGUGAAUUGCAGAAUUCAGUGAAUCAUCGAGUCUUUGAACGCACCUUGCGCCCUUUGGCUAUUCUGAAGGGCAUGCCUGUUUGAGUAUCAUGAACACCUCAACUCUCAUGGUUCGCCAUGAUGAGCUUGGACUUUGGGGGUCUUGCUGGCCUACGGUCGGCUCCUCUCAAAUGAAUCAGCUUGCCAGUGUUUGGUAGAGUGGCAGGUGUGAUAACUAUCUACGCUUGUGGUUUUCUGCCAGAUAACCUUCAGUGAUGGAGGUUCGCUGGAGCUUAUAAAUGUCUCUCCCCAGUGAGGACAGCUUUUUGAACGUUUGAUCUCAAAUCAGGUAGGACUACCCGCUGAACUUAAGCAUAUCAAUAAGCGGAGGA
rnacentral:misc_RNA from 1 species